ACAGGGAUUGCCCUAGUAACGGCGAGUGAAGCGGCAACAGCUCAAAUUUGAAAUCUGGCUCUUUCAGGGUCCGAGUUGUAAUUUGCAGAGGGCGCUUUGGCGUUGGCAGCGGUCCAAGUUCCUUGGAACAGGACGUCACAGAGGGUGAGAAUCCCGUACGUGGUCGCUAGCCUUCGCCGUGUAAAGCCCCUUYGACGAGUCGAGUUGUUUGGGAAUGCAGCUCUAAAUGGGAGGUAAAUUUCUUCUAAAGCUAAAUACUGGCCAGAGACCGAUAGCGCACAAGUAGAGUGAUCGAAAGAUGAAAAGCACUUUGGAAAGAGAGUCAAAUAGCACGUGAAAUUGUUGAAAGGGAAGCGCUUGCAGCCAGACUUGCCUGUAGUUGCUCAUCCGGGCUUYUGCCCGGUGCACUCUUCUAUAGGCAGGCCAGCAUCAGUUUGGGCGGUUGGAUAAAGGUCUCUGUCAUGUACCUCUCUUCGGGGAGGCCUUAUAGGGGAGACGACAUGCAACCAGCCUGGACUGAGGUCCGCGCAUUUUGCUAGGAUGCUGGCGUAAUGGCUGUAAGCGGCCCGUCUUGAAACACGGACCAAGGAGUCUAACAUCUAUGCGAGUGUUUGGGUGUCAAGCCCGAACGCGUAAUGAAAGUGAACGGAGGUGGGAACCCUUUAGGGCGCACCAUCGACCGAUCCUGAUGUCUUCGGAAGGAUUUGAGUAAGAGCAUGGCUGUUGGGACCCGAAAGAUGGUGAACUAUGCUUGAAUAGGGUGAAGCCAGAGGAAACUCUGGUGGAGGCUCGCAGCGGUUCUGACGUGCAAAUCGAUCGUCAAAUUUGGGCAUAGGGGCGAAAGA
rnacentral:rRNA from 1 species